UGUGCUAUACUAGUAAGGUUGAUUCAAGCAACCCUUGGUGCUUAGCUUCUUUCACCAAGCAUAUUAUACGCGGGAAACCGCCAAAGGAGAAAAGAUG
rfam:Streptococcus sp. DORA_10 Q617_SPSC00358, whole genome shotgun sequence.